GGCCCCGUAGCUCAGCUGGAUAGAGCAACCGCCUCCUAAGCGGUAGGUCGUGAGUUCGAAUCUCGCCGGGGCCGCCA
rnacentral:tRNA from 1 species